GUGUUAGCUCUUUUCUUUGGUGUGUCAUGAUUCCAUGUCUUUUCUGUAGAUGAGAGUAGUGAGUUUAGAGGUUUUGAUGUCCUUCUAUCUCGGAUUUUUUCAGAUUUUGGAGGGAGGUGAAGGGGAAGGAAAUAGACUCAAGAUCACUUUCACGUCAAAAGCAGGCAUCUAAAUUAAAGAAAGGAAGGAGGGCCGGUUUCCUUCAGAUUGUAAAGGAAGGAAAGAAGAAAAUAAAAGGUCCAAGAAACUAUUAGCGUGGAAAGAGAGAGAUUUGCUAACAUUCCAAACUAUCGCGUUCAGGACUCGUGUUCCCAAGGGUAAGAGGCAAUCUGUCGCAGAAAUAAUAUAUUGCUCGUUCACCCUGAAAACGCUGCCUUAAAGAUCAUAGGUGUAGAAGAUCAAGAGAGACGAGAUUACCUUUUAUUCUGGUUUCUUCCACCACCCGAAGCUGAUACCAAGGAACACGAUCACCUUAAGAAUUAGACCAGUGACAAAUAUCAAUCUUGAAAACAAAACAAAAUUGGAUCGACUCCCAAUUCAGAGAAUAAAAUGAAAAAUUGGGGGUCGAUCCGUCCACCAUCCCCCACCACACCCCCUUCUAUUAGAAAGUUUAUAACACUUAUCUACCCGUCCACCACCUCUCCCCAUACCCGCCACAUUUGGUCAGUUUUCAUAAUUCUUGUUACAAGUCAUCUUCCUUAUGGUACAAACAACUUUUAAUACACUAGCACUACAGUAAAUUAUUACUGUACAAUAUUUUAUUAUCUAUUACAAUGGUAACAUUACAAUCUUGUUCUUACAAUCAUAUAAUACAGUAAUAUUACAAUUAUUUGAUACAGUUUUUUUUCUCCAUCCAGCCUCCCGCACCACACCCACCUCUGGGGUCCAUUUUCUUAAUUCUCUUUAAAAGUUGUCUACCUUGUGGUAGUGACGCUUAUUUCAAACGCAUGCAUUUCUAAACCAAACGUCUGUCUUAAGACACAUGCGUAUUGCAAGAUGUCGUUACCACGAAAUAGACAGUUUUUACAACUUCUUAAAAACUGCCAUCAAGAGAUGGGCGUGGAGGAGGUUGACAUUUGUUCUUGGUUUCUUGAGAUGGUCAUCCUUCAUGAAAUCUAUGUAAAGAGAACCUCGAAUGAGCAACAUUGAAACACUAGGAUAAAAAUAUGACAUCACUGCGCGUGUCUUUUUAACUGAAACCCAUAAACGAGAGUUCUUACAAUAUAAAUAAAAGAAAUGGGUUUAUUCGUUUCUCUCGACUAUUCCACGCGGCAACACUUUUGCGAAAAUCAAAGGAACCUUUAAAACAGAAUUACAACUAUACGUUGAACUGUAAUUACACUUACCAUCAGUCUACUAUGAAAUUCUUAGUAAAGUUGUAAUCUUCGUGUUACCUGAAAGACGAAAAAUACACAAAACUCAUAAAACGAUACUCUACGGUACUGACAAUUUUUGCUGAUGUUAACCUUUUUAAAACAUUAAACAACAAUUGUACUUUCUCAAUUAUAGAGACUAAAUUGUUAAAACCACAUAAGAUAAGCAAAUUUUAAUGAACAAAGAAAUGUAUUUUAGAAGAAGUUUGAAGUGUGGUGUCCCUGAUUAAUUUCACGAGUUGCAGAGCGAAGUAAAGCAGGCAGAGGAGCGUAGGACGCACAGCCGGCCGGUGAAACGGGCUGUUUUACGGUACAAAAUAGCCAACUGUCCAAAUCUAUAAACGGAUGGCGCGAGAUGGCGCGAAAAUAUGCACGUAUGUUAGUCCGCGGACAUUAUCUGUUCCAAAAUGACGGAAUUUAUUUUCAACAGUUUACAUUUUGAAAAAACAAAUUUAAGUUGAGAAAGCUUGAAUCGUGAAAUCUGAUGCCCUACUUUCAUGCUUGAUGAAAUCGCGAAACUAUAAUCCCGCAAAAUACUGUCUCGACAAAAUCGCG